rnacentral:lncRNA from 1 species
GCUCCCCCUGAUGGUGGCGGGUGGUGCUGCGCCCCCUGCUGGUGGCGGGCGGUGCUGCGCCCCCUGCUGGCGGAGCGGCGGUGCUGCGCCCCCUGCUGCCGGCGGGACAGAAAACUACAGACUCACGGGUUUGUUGUUUUAUCAGGUGCCUGUUUAUAUGAACCGGUCGACGUCAGUCUCAAUAAAGUGGUAUCCGUGGCCUGUCGGUAGAUUUGAUUUAUAACAUUUUAUAUGCACGUAGGACAUACGCACUUGCGGUUAUUCAUAUUUUCGGACCGACGACGUUCCACAAUAACGUAAAAAGUAUUUCUGUGCUUUGGUAACUCGCCAUUAGGGAGACACAACUACAAAUCCCAUCAUGCUCAGCCGACUCAUGCUUGCUUCUGCGCAUGCGCGGCGUGUAAAAGACACGAACAUGGCGGAGGGGGCUGCGGAGUUCCAGAGAGCGCAGUCCCUCUUCGGCAAUGACUGCGACGCGUCCAUCCAGGUUCCGCACUCACUGGACUCGUUUCUUGUGUGAUGAUGAUGAGGAGGCUGUGUGGAUGAAGGAGUUCAGCAUCCUGGCUGCUGUAACCGCCGCUCAGGGCCUGGGAUCUUGGAUCAGGGUGAGGGAGUCUCCGGUGGAUAAAAUGUACGAGGCGGCGCUGGAGACCAUUCAGAACGUGAGCAAAAUGGUCGACUCGCCAAGAAGCUGACGUCGCGGCUGGACCAACAUAUGGACCUUUUUUAUGUGUAAAUGAGGGAAAUCAAACCUGCAGCAGGAAUAGUUUUUUUUUUUUUUUUUUUUUUUUUUUUUGUACUUUCCUUCAACAAAACCAUCUCCUCCUCUGUUUUUGUCCAGUUUCUCUUGUAGAAGCCAGAAUAAG